rnacentral:rRNA from 1 species
GGGGGGGGCAAGCGUUGUUCGGAAUUACUGGGCGUAAAGGGCUCGUAGGUGGCCAAUUAAGUCAGACGUGAAAUCCCCAGGCUCAACUUGGGAACUGCGUCUGAUACUGGUUGGCUUGAAUUCGGGAGAGGGAUGCAGAAUUCCAGGUGUAGCGGUGAAAUGCGUAGAUAUCUGGAGGAAUACCGGUGGCGAAGGCGGCAUCCUGGACCGAGAUUGACACUGAGGAGCGAAAGCCAGGGGAGCAAACGGGAUUAGAUACCCCGGUAGUCCUGGCCCUAAACGAUGAAUGCUUGGUGUGACGGGUAUCGAUCCCUGUCGUGCCGAAGCUAACGCAUUAAGCAUUCCGCCUGGGGAGUACGGUCGCAAGGCUGAA